GACGGACCAUCCAAACGUUAUUCGGAAUUACUGGGCUUAAAGGGUGCGUAGGCGGCGCGGAUAGUUCGGUGUGAAAUCCCUCGGCUUAACCGAGGAAUGGCGCUGAAUACUACCGUGCUCGAGGAAGACAGAGGUAAGCGGAACAGCGGGUGGAGCGGUGAAAUGCGUUGAUAUCAGGAAGAACACCCGUGGCGAAGGCGGCUCUCUGGGACGGUACUGACGCUGAGACGCGAAAGCGUGGGGAGCGAACAGG
rnacentral:rRNA from 1 species